rnacentral:rRNA from 3 species
UAUGGGGAUUAUACCGAGAAUGCUCCACCUGUUCCCAUUCCGAACACAGAAGUGAAAUUUCUCAAGGCCGAUGAUAGUGGGUUUUUCCCGCGAAAGUAGGUCGUCCCCGUUU